rnacentral:rRNA from 1 species
UACAGAGACUGCAAGCGUUAUUCGGAUUCACUGGGCGUAAAGGGUGCGCAGGCGGCCGUGUGUGUAAGGUGUGAAAUCCCGGGGCUCAACCCCGGAACUGCGCCUUAAACUACAUGGCUAGAGUACUGGAGAGGGUAGCGGAAUUCACGGUGUAGCAGUGAAAUGCGUAGAUAUCGUGAGGAACACCAGAGGCGAAGGCGGCUACCUGGACAGUUACUGACGCUCAGGCACGAAAGCGUGGGGAGCAAAAGGG